rnacentral:sRNA from 1 species
AUUAAUUCUAAAAUUUCACUCGUAGAUUAUCGUCCUUUAUUAAUAUCAACUCAAACUCAUCCCACCAUAUAAUUUCAUUCCGUAAAA